AUGAACGCUAGCUACAGGCUUAACACAUGCAAGUCGAGGGGCAGCAUUUUAGUUUGCUUGCAAACUAAAGAUGGCGACCGGCGCACGGGUGAGUAACACGUAUCCAACCUGCCGAUAACUCGGGGAUAGCCUUUCGAAAGAAAGAUUAAUAUCCGAUAGUAUAUUAAAACCGCAUGGUUUUACUAUUAAAGAAUUUCGGUUAUCGAUGGGGAUGCGUUCCAUUAGUUUGUUGGCGGGGUAACGGCCCACCAAGACUACGAUGGAUAGGGGUUCUGAGAGGAAGGUCCCCCACAUUGGAACUGAGACACGGUCCAAACUCCUACGGGAGGCAGCAGUGAGGAAUAUUGGUCAAUGGACGAGAGUCUGAACCAGCCAAGUAGCGUGAAGGAUGACUGCCCUAUGGGUUGUAAACUUCUUUUAUAUGGGAAUAAAGUAUUCCACGUGUGGGAUUUUGUAUGUACCAUAUGAAUAAGGAUCGGCUAACUCCGUGCCAGCAGCCGCGGUAAUACGGAGGAUCCGAGCGUUAUCCGGAUUUAUUGGGUUUAAAGGGAGCGUAGGUGGAUUGUUAAGUCAGUUGUGAAAGUUUGCGGCUCAACCGUAAAAUUGCAGUUGAAACUGGCAGUCUUGAGUACAGUAGAGGUGGGCGGAAUUCGUGGUGUAGCGGUGAAAUGCUUAGAUAUCACGAAGAACUCCGAUUGCGAAGGCAGCUCACUAGACUGCAACUGACACUGAGGCUCGAAAGUGUGGGUAUCAAACAGGAUUAGAUACCCUGGUAGUCCACACAGUAAACGAUGAAUACUCGCUGUUUGCGAUAUACAGUAAGCGGCCAAGCGAAAGCAUGAAGUAUUCCACCUGGGGAGUACGCCGGCAACGGUGAAACUCAAAGGAAUUGACGGGGGCCCGCACAAGCGGAGGAACAUGUGGUUUAAUUCGAUGAUACGCGAGGAACCUUACCCGGGCUUAAAUUGCAUUUGAAUAAUCUGGAAACAGGUUAGCCGCAAGGCAAAUGUGAAGGUGCUGCAUGGUUGUCGUCAGCUCGUGCCGUGAGGUGUCGGCUUAAGUGCCAUAACGAGCGCAACCCUUAUCUUUAGUUACUAACAGGUCAUGCUGAGGACUCUAGAGAGACUGCCGUCGUAAGAUGUGAGGAAGGUGGGGAUGACGUCAAAUCAGCACGGCCCUUACGUCCGGGGCUACACACGUGUUACAAUGGGGGGUACAGAAGGCAGCUACCUGGCGACAGGAUGCUAAUCCCAAAAACCUCUCUCAGUUCGGAUCGAAGUCUGCAACCCGACUUCGUGAAGCUGGAUUCGCUAGUAAUCGCGCAUCAGCCAUGGCGCGGUGAAUACGUUCCCGGGCCUUGUACACACCGCCCGUCAAGCCAUGAAAGCCGGGGGUACCUGAAGUACGUAACCGCAAGGAGCGUCCUAGGGUAAAACUGGUAAUUGGGGCU
rnacentral:rRNA from 1 species